CAAAGGCGCACGCAGCCCCAAGGGAUGCUUGGCUGUGACCCUCGGAUGGGGCUGUCUCUCCUCAUCCCAGCAGCAGGCAGCCAAUGAAAAAGCGGUUCAGGGGGUUCCCGAACCAAUGGCAGCCCGACGGGAUGUGAGGACCGGCCACUAGAAACACCCAUGGAGUCCUGGCCCAGAGCAUGGAGGGGGGACGGGACGCUGUCUUCCCAGAUGCCCCGGACAGGUGACAUUUCAUGCAAGGUGGGAGACUGUCCCCUUCAUUUUGGGGGUGUAGAGAAAACGCAGGCCAUCUGGACAAAAGCUUCUCUUGCUGUUUUCAGAAACAGAGAAAUCCUUAAUGUGGGCUGUUGGUUACAAAGACCUAACAGAUUGAGUUCAAAAGCAAACCCUUGGCCCAGCCUAGACUGUUCAGAAAACAAUGGGGAAAAAGUCAUUAAAUGGAGGUGGAUAAUGAAGAUCCAGGAUCACCUCUAGAAAACUAGCUGGGCAGUUGUAAGUCCAUUUUUUCCUGCAUUAUUAAGUCAUCAUUAUAUGCUGACUAGAUGCUAUGGGCUGAAUUGUGUUCCCCCAAACUCAUGUGUUGGUGCCCUCACCCCCAAUGUGACUGUAUCUGGAGACAGGACCUAAAUCAGACGAACAAGGUUAAACAAGGUCAGAAGAAUGGGACCCUGAUCGGAUAGGAUUAGUGUCCUGGUAAGAAGAGACACCAAAGAGCUUGCUCUCUCCCUGCGCCGCCCCCAUGUGAGGACACACAAGAAGGUGGCUGUCUGCAAGCCAGGAAAACAGCCCUCACCAGGAACCACACUGGCUGGCACCUGGAUCUUGGACUUCCCAGCCUCCAGAACUAUGAGACGUCUCUGCUGUUUAAGCCACCCGAGCUGUGGUACUUCGUUGCGGCAGCCCGCUCCCAACAAAGCGAUGACUGUUGAUCCUGCGUCAGAACACUGCUGGGUCCCACAGGGCUGACCCGCUAGCCUUAACACCCUGUCCCUGAAGCCCUCUGGAGAUAAAAUUAUAAUAGCUACAUCAUUCUGCUUACAUCCUCACGACAAUUCUGCAUGGAGAUCCAUUUUGCAGGCGAGGAACGAACCUCCUAGAAAUGAGAUAACUUGCCCAUAGCCACACGACUGGUCUGUCGCAGAGAUGGCAUUGAGCAAAGGCUGGUCUCCUCUUAAUUCGGG
rnacentral:lncRNA from 1 species